AACAUCGUGAAAGUGUUUACAUGCACAAACAAAAUUAAUCGAAACAGUAUCUGGAGAAGUUGGCGGUGAGAAGCAUUUUGCAUAAACUUGAAACCUAGGGAGGAGCUCAGGGAAAAUACAUUCUUUCCAGAUUUGCUUUUGAGGGAAGAGACAUACAGACAGAGCUGCCUUAUACCACGUCUGUAACUGUCUAGUACAUUCUACUCUUAAAGGCUUUGGGGAAUUCUUUCCGCUCUCCUUAUAGGCCUAUGUUUCUGCAGACCCAGCUUCUUCACUGUCUCCUUCAUGCAUGUAAACUAGUAGGACCCGGCUGCAAAAGUUCUUGCCACCACAAAGUUGUUAAGUCUUUCUGUGCCUCAUAAUUCUUUGCUUGCUUAAAGGGUAAAAAAGGCAUCCUACAACAAUCAUGUUCCUGUGAGCCUUAUAUUUUUCCUGGUAUUAUGAAGCAAGCCUAUUGUUGAAAGUCAUCCUUAACAGUUGCAGAUGGCAAGGAACACUUUCGUCCACUUGAGAACUGCAAGAAAGGGCUGGCUGGACUGGGUGACACAGUGGUUUUCCAACUUUCCUUAUCAGGGAUGUGACGGCUGCAUCCCAAGGAGGGUGUUUUGUCUAAUCAGUAACUUAACAUGUGAAUUUCUUCUGUGUCACUGGAGGCCAAAGCUACUUCUUCUUCUCUUCCUAUCAGUUCCUUCUGACAACUUUAGCAAAUGCAGCUGAGCGAGGGGGAAAGUUAGGAUUGCUAAAGUAAACAAUUUGCUACACGUGGUAUGUUAUCACUUUUUGACAUUUGGGGUGGGUGGGGUGAUUCCCCACCCUCCUUGGGCCAUCUAUCUUGUAUCUUCCAGCUAUGUGUAUCUGUAUUGGUAACAGGUAAAAUGUUGUUUUUUUGUCCAGCUGGGUAAAUAGGUUUUUCUGGUGUGUUGACCUGUUUGCUAAAUCUAUUUAUUUGCUGUAUAUUAUACACACACCCCUUCCUCAAAGGAGCUUAAGGCAUUAUAUAUCAUUUUAUCCUCACAACAACCCUGUGGAGUAGGUUAGAUUGAAAAAUAAUGACUGGCCCAAAAUCAUCUAAUGACUCAGUGAGAACUAGAACCCAGGUGUUUCCAAGUCCUAGUAUGACACUUUACCACUACAUCAAACAAAUGGUGUUCACUGAAGUGCACACCUAAAAAACAUAAAAGUGUGAACCUGACAAAGAGGUGUUUUGCAGCAUGUGCAUUGGGACUGGCUACAGUUUCCUGUUGGGUCUACACUUGAUGGCAAACCAAGGUUUGUUGCUUUGUGGCUGGAAGAGGGUAUCAGGGUGAUACCAGCAAUAUAAGGGCACUCAACAGCAUUGCUUAGUGGGCUCGUGAGCCCCAGAAGGAGGAGAGAAAAAUGUUUCUCUGUUUUGGGUUUGCAAAAUUGUUAAGAGUAUCAACUUGGCUGCCUCUAUUGCCACUUCCUUCUGUAGCUGGGUCUUUGUUUUGGAACAAGUGCUGGUCAAAUAAGCUUUUGUUUGCGGUCCAUCAAUUGGCUGGCAACAAAACUUUUCAGGGAGGCAAACAAUGAGGAAGCUGUUGGCUUGGCGGCCAAGGGGCAUCUGUGAUAUUACUGGCAAGGCAUACUGAUGCGAAAGAAAGGAGGUUUGUUGGACAUGAGUGUGUGGGAGAAGAGCACACAGUAGCAGGAGGAGCUCUUUGGAACUUCAUGCUCUUCUAGUCAAAAGUGCACUCUGAAGUGUUUUUUGUAUUUUUUAAAAAAGAAAGACCUGUCGUCUUCCUCCUUAAAGGCAGGGCUGUGCAUUCUUCUUCUUCUUCUUCUUCUUCUUCUUCUUCUUCUUCUUCUUCUUCUUCUUCUUCUUGGCAGGGGUGGGAAGAGAGAGCAACCAAAUUAUAUGCCAGAUUCUGAACAAAGCUGGAAAAUUUACUGUAAUACAAGAAUCGUAUGUCACCUAAGUGGAAUGAAUAAACAUAAUAAAUUACUAUUUAAAGGAAACCUCUCCAUUUGCUCGACCCUGCAUGGGCUACAUGUCUUCCAACAUGGAAAUUGGGAACAGUGGGGGGGGGGUAGGGGAUGACAACAAGGAGACUUUUGAAGGGCUAUGGCAAACUGGCAACUGGGUUAGAGGAAUUGCCAUCUUUAGCCAAUGGAUUUGGGGAAUAAAAUCAUGCUUUAUGUGUUGUGGCUCUGAAUAAUAAUAAUAAUAAUAAAAAAAACAACAACAACAACAGCAACAGCUUAUUAUUUAUACCCCGCUCAUCUGGCCCAUUCUGUUGGCGGCUCCCAACAGAAUAUUAAACAGAAUAAGACAUCAAACAUUAAAAACUUCCCUAACCAGGGUUGCCUUCAGAUGUUUUCUAAAAGUCAUAUACUUGUUUAUUUCCUUGACAUCUGAUGGGGGGGGGCAUUCCACUCUGCCUGGUUCCCUGUAACCUCACUUCUCACAGUGAGGGAACCGCCAGAAGGCCCUCGGAGCUGGACCUUAGUGUCCAGGCUGAACACUCGGAAAUGUACUGGGAGCCAAUGUAGGUCUUUCAGGACUGGUGUCAUAUGGUCUGAACUAGCAGUAGGCAUCAUACGAUAAAUAUGGCGCUAGUAGCCUCCACUUGGGUAUGACAGAUCCCCAUAAGUCCUCAUCGGCAGGCACCUUAAGGACCAUCUACUUUCUCUUCUACUAAAUAAUACAAUUUAUUUUAUUUUUUUCAUCUCGAGCUCAAAGUGGUCCCCCCCCCCCCAUCUUUGCAUUUUAUCCUCACAGCAGCUAUAUGAACUAGAUUAUGAACACUCAAACCACUACACUGGCUCUUGCAGUAAGGUUUGAAUGGGGAUUUCCUGUUUCAUAGCUCAACUUUUUUUGUCUUGUUUUUAGUCACUAGAAUAUGUGGGUUAUCAACAGCUGUAAAUAGCAUUAGGAAGCUUGGAUCACUUCCUAUGUCUUUCCUUAGAGAUAUAAUGUGUAAUUGAAGCAGUUUCUUUAUAUCAUGCAGUAGAAGUAAACUCUUCCUGGUUGUAAUACAGUGUUAAAGGAACAGUCAGCAGUACUCCCAAACAAAACAAAAAGCCCCCAAACUGAUUGCAGAUGCUGUUACCGAAAUGACAUUACGUCCGUAUGCCCUUUCCUUCACAUUUUCCUGUAAUCCUGUUAUGGCACCGUCCCAUUACCUCAAGCACUGUCAUCUUUAAAUGCUGUCAAAUCUUAACUGGAUUGCCAAGGGCAUCAGGAAGGAGUUUAGGAGGUGAACCUGAUGGUAAUUUCAGCCAGAACAUUUCUAUCUAUCUGUUGCUUUCUCAUGUAACUCUACUACACCACACCAUUAUUAUUAUUAUUAUUAUUAUUAUUAUCAUCAUCAUCAUCACAAACACAAUACUAAAUAUUAAAAUCAAUUGAAAUAAACUCAGUC
rnacentral:lncRNA from 1 species